GCCGAUGAUAAGCUAAGAGCAUCAAUUGAUUCUCCAAGUCUAUCACUAGCUCCCAGUUCAGAAGAGUGAGUAAAAAAAAAUAUGCAUACUUUUUCACUUAAUUUUGUGAAUGGGGUGCAAAUGAUAGGCUGAGAAUGUUUUGACAUUCUCCAAGGGUGCCUGUCUCUCUCCCUCUCCCUGCCCAAACCUCCUCCGUUCUCUUACUAUCAACCUUUGAACAUUGCCAUGUUUAGCUCAGUCGUGUUUAACAGAUUAUUCUGCACGGGGCUGAAGCCAGGGUCUUGGCAGGAUUCGGGUAAAUUUUAAAUCCAAUCUAAAAUGGUUUGAAAAAUUACCAUGGCAGGGCUCCAGUUCACUCCUGGCACCAUAACCUUUACAACAGGUAGUGGUCAUGGGUCUUUGCUUUGAGUGUUCUGUUAGAACAAAAAAUGGUGUAUAU